UACGUAGGUGGCAAGCGUUGUCCGGAAUUAUUGGGCGUAAAGCGCGCGCAGGCGGUCCUUUAAGUCUGAUGUGAAAGCCCACGGCUCAACCGUGGAGGGUCAUUGGAAACUGGGGGACUUGAGUGCAGAAGAGGAGAGUGGAAUUCCACGUGUAGCGGUGAAAUGCGUAGAGAUGUGGAGGAACACCAGUGGCGAAGGCGGCAUCCUGGACCGGCAUUGACGCUGAGGCGCGAAAGCCAGGGGAGCAAACGGGG
rnacentral:rRNA from 1 species